UUAUGUAUUGUUAUAGGUUACGGAUGCAACGUCGUUAAACAAUUCCAGGACAAUUAAAUUGUUGAUUCAAUCGAACAUAUGGUAUGAACAUGGUUUGUUUCACGGGGUGUUUCGGUGUCUUGCCUUGAAUCAAGGCGUGUAAAAACGUUAUGUGUGAUCCUUAUACACCAGCUGGUGUUCCAAUUCCAACCAACAAGAGGCACAACGCUGCUAAAAUUUUCAGACACCAAUCGUUGCCUCCGAGGAGCCUUGGUAUGCUCAUCUUCUUGUUUUUUGGCUAUACAUAUUAUUUUCGUUACUAUAAAUUCUAAUAGUGUUUGUUUUUUUAAACGAUUGUAUGUUUUGGAUGAAUGAAAGCAACCACGAUGCAUGAAGAAGAUUCAGGUGAUGUUUCAAUUGAUCUUUUAUCUUUAAUUUAUCGAUUUUCUAAUUUUACAAAAAUGUUCUCACCGAGUAGAAUAUACUUUUGAGUUUUGAGUUAAAUCUUUCACAGUCUGUUGUGGAUUAGCAACGUUUCAAGCCAUAUUAACUAUUGUGUUGUGGCAGUUCGAAAGAUUCAUAUAAAUUGGACUAUUGCUACAAAAAAAAACAGAAUCACAGGUUUCAUUCUAUCAAAGGAGAUAAAGCCUCUUAUCUCUACUGUCUUUGAGGGUAAAGAUGCUAAUGUCAUCGCCCACGGAGCAAGAAAUUGCGGAAAAACAUAUCUCAUACAUGUAUUGAAAGCAAUCCCAUUAAGGUAUUGAUUAUCAGACAUGAUACUAUAGAUGAAAAAUGCUAAUUAUUGUAUCGCAUGGUUUGUAGGGAAAUGAUUAUGCUCUGACGCUCAAAGGAAACAGACACCUUUGACUGUGUCUGCUACUUCUAGAAAACAGACAGUGCUAAGGGGAAAUGUGACAGAGAGAAAAGACUAAAAUCAAAGCAAGGGUCACGACAUACAUACUAUAAUUGAUAGAGAGUAUUAUCGUCAUCGUGGAUUCAGGUUUUUCCAAGGACGAUAGAUACAUGGCCGGCCCUAUAGACAUCAACAAGAAACUUUUGCUGUAACCCAAAUUUUGUUUCUGAAAUUCUUCAACAAAAAUUAUUUAUGAAA